GCAGCGUGUAGUGGUGAAGGUCUCUGCGAUCCUUGCCUUUUUGUCGUUUCUGGAAGUAGUUUUGGGGGCCAUGGAUUGCUGCUUAUUGGUGAGAUUUGGUUGAGAUAGUUUUAUUUGGUGUAUAUAUGGUCAUCAUGAACAGUUCAUUAGCAUUAGUGCAUAUGGGUUAUUGUUCUUCAACUGAUGUUAAAUAGUGAAAACAUUUCUGCUCCUCUAGUGAUUCUUUAAAUUUGUAAACUUUGGUGUGAUGUGGAUCGUGUUGCAGAACUUUGAUGAUGAUGAUCCCAAUUUUAAUCCAUUAUGUAAGAGGUGGCCUUGUUUGGGUUUUAUAUCUAGUAUCCUAUGCUUUUUCAUGUGUUAAGAAAGGACAUUUACAAGUGGAAAAUCAAUUGGAUCUCCACGUUUUCCAAUACGUGAUCUAAAUAUACCCAACCGAAACUGAAAAGGACAGCUGGUGUAGUUUCUGGAAGUUUGUAUGUAACAUUUCAUAUACUACUACUAUACCUUAAAUAGUUAACGCACGCAUAUUUAUAACAGAUAAAAAAUAUCUACGUGAAAAUUAAACUUUAGUAUGAAGGAGCGUAGUACGGAAUGCAAGUUUAAAAUACUUCGAGAUGAUCUCAUUUGUGACAUAAUAUGUGGACUUAAUGAUAACCGUCUUCAUGAACUUCUUAGAGAACCAGAAUCAGCACUACAGAAAACUGCACAAAUUGGACAUGCUGCUGAAAAAACGAAGAGACAUACGAAGGAACUUCAAAAGGAAAUUAAAAGACAAAGAAUAUAUUGACAGUAUACAGAAAAGAAAAUUCACGAGAAACGAAAAGAAAAACAUUGGCAGAGAAUCAUUCAGUUAUGAUAAAUCCCUACUAAAAGACUGUAAAUUUUAUUCUUACACUCACAAGCGAGGGAAAUGCAAGACUUAUGGAAAAAAAUGCACGAAGUGCUUUAAGCUGAAUCAUUUUGCAUGGUAUUGCCAAGAUAAAUGCAAGACGAUCAACAAUUUCCAUCGCCGCUAUAGUGAAUUUGCAGGAUAUGAUGUCAGUUCCUUUGAUUUGCAUUUAAUAUAGACGACGAGUUUUUUGAAAAUAGACAUGUUUCGACAUCUCAUGAUGCCAUCUUCAGUAUGAGUGAAUAAAUAAAUAAAUACAGGAUUACUGAAAGUAUUAUGAUACAGUAACAAUGAGAGAUAUAAAUUUGUAUAAGUUAUAAGAAUAAUGAGGAAAUGAGAUAAAUUAAUGGAGAGCGUGUUACAAACUAAA